UACAGAGGUCUCAAGCGUUGUUCGGAUUCAUUGGGCGUAAAGGGUUCGUAGGCGGUGCGGUAAGUCGGGUGUGAAAUCUCGGAGCUUAACUCCGAAACUGCAUUCGAUACUGCCGUGCUUGAGGACUGGAGAGGAGACUGGAAUUUACGGUGUAGCGGUGAAAUGCGUAGAUAUCGUAAGGAAGACCAGUGGCGAAGGCGGGUCUCUGGACAGUUCCUGACGCUGAGGCACGAAGGUCAGGGGAGCAAACGGG
rnacentral:rRNA from 1 species